GAUAAACGCUAGCGGCAGGCUUAACACAUGCAAGUCGAGGGGCAGCAUAGAUUGUAGCAAUACAAUUGGUGGCGACCGGCGCACGGGUGCGUAACGCGUAUGCAACCUACCCGUCACAGGGGGAUAAUCCGGAGAAAUCUGGUCUAAUACCCCAUAACAUAUGGAUCGGCAUCGGUUCAUGUUGAAAUUUUCGGAGGUGACGGAUGGGCAUGCGUAGCAUUAGCUUGUUGGUGAGGUAACGGCUCACCAAGGCGACGAUGCUUAGGGGGACUGAGAGGUUUGCCCCCCACACUGGUACUGGGACACGGACCAGACUCCUACGGGAGGCAGCAGUGAGGAAUAUUGGUCAAUGGGCGCAAGCCUGAACCAGCCAUGCCGCGUGCAGGAUGACGGCUCUAUGAGUUGUAAACUGCUUUUGUACGAGGGUAAAGUGGGUUACGUGUAACCUUUUGAAGGUAUCGUACGAAUAAGGAUCGGCUAACUCCGUGCCAGCCGCCGCCGUAA
rnacentral:rRNA from 1 species